rnacentral:rRNA from 1 species
GAGUUUGAUCAUGGCUCAGAACGUACGCUGGCGGCACGCCUAACACAUGCAAGUCGAACGAAGUAGCAAUACUUAGUGGCAGACGGGUGAGUAACAUGUAGGUAUCUACCCUUUGGCCUGGAAUAACACGAGGAAACUUGUGCUAAUACCGGAUAAGUCUUUACAGAGAAAGCUUUAUGCACCAUUGGAUGAGCCUGCACUAGAUUAGUUCGUUGGUGGGGUAAUGGCCUACCAAGGCGACGAUCAGUAGCUGGUCUGAGAGGACGAUCAGCCACACUGGAACUGAGACACGGUCCAGACUCCUACGGGAGGCAGCAGUGGGGAAUUUUGGACAAUGGGGGCAACCCUGAUCCAGCCAUUCCGCGUGAGUGAAGAAGGCCUUCGGGUUGUAAAGCUCCUUCGCAAGAGAAGAAAACUUGCUAUCUAAUAAGUAGUAAGUAUGACGGUAUCUUGACAAGAAGCACCGGCUAACUACGUGCCAGCAGCCGCGGUAAUACGUAGGGUGCAAGCGUUAAUCGGAAUUACUGGGCGUAAAGCGUGCGCAGGCAGUUUUAUAAGUCAGAUGUGAAAUCCCCGAGCUCAACUUGGGAACUGCGUUUGAAACUGUAAGACUAGAGUGUGUCAGAGGGGGGUAGAAUUCCAAGUGUAGCAGUGAAAUGCGUAGAGAUUUGGAGGAAUACCAAUGGCGAAGGCAGCCCCCUGGGAUAACACUGACGCUCAUGCACGAAAGCGUGGGGAGCAAACAGGAUUAGAUACCCUGGUAGUCCACGCCCUAAACGAUGUCUACUAGUUGUUGGUGGAGUAAAAUCCAUGAGUAACGCAGCUAACGCGUGAAGUAGACCGCCUGGGGAGUACGGUCGCAAGAUUAAAACUCAAAUGAAUUGACGGGGGCCCGCACAAGCGGUGGAUUAUGUGGAUUAAUUCGAUGCAACGCGAAAAACCUUACCUGGCCUUGACAUGUACCGAAUUUAGCAGAGAUGCUUUAGUGCUCGAAAGAGAACGGUAACACAGGUGCUGCAUGGCUGUCGUCAGCUCGUGUCGUGAGAUGUUGGGUUAAGUCCCGCAACGAGCGCAACCCUUGCCAUUAAUUGCCAUCAUUUAGUUGGGCACUUUAAUGGGACUGCCGGUGACAAACCGGAGGAAGGUGGGGAUGACGUCAAGUCCUCAUGGCCCUUAUGGCCAGGGCUUCACACGUAAUACAAUGGUCGGUACAGAGGGAAGCCAACCCGCGAGGGGGAGCCAAUCUCAGAAAGCCGGUCGUAGUCCGGAUUGUUGUCUGCAACUCGACAGCAUGAAGUCGGAAUCGCUAGUAAUCGCGGAUCAGCAUGUCGCGGUGAAUACGUUCCCGGGCCUUGUACACACCGCCCGUCACACCAUGGGAGUGGGUUUUACCAGAAGUAGUUAGUCUAUCCGCAAGGGGGACGAUUACCACGGUAGGAUUCAUGACUGGGGUGAAGUCGUAACAAGGUAACC